UUGACCUCGUGAUCUGCCUGCCUCAGCCUCCUAAAGUGCCGGGAUUACAGGUGUGAGCCACUGUGCCCAGCGAGCUGUGCCACUUUCAAAGCUGAGCCCCUGAGCUUCAGUUUCUUCUGAAAGGUGGGCAGUACUUAGUGCUUAGGCUUGAAGGAUUCAGCUGGUUAACGUGAAGCAUUCAGCUCCAGCAUUAUGUCUCAAAGCCACUGUGUCAGUGAACCGGCAUCCCUCAUCGUGGAAAGACUGUCUUAAACCAGUGCUUCCUUCUGUGCACACGUCUUCCACUGGCGAAUUACAGCUGCGAAAAUGUAUCUUUCUGGAGUAAGGGUGAAGUGAAGUGAAGCUGUUUCCCCACUUAGGGUUCUCUGGUCUUUGCGGAGCUGCCAGGGGUCUGUGACCCCAUUUGGUAAGGACUCGGGGCCGCACGCUGCCUCUCCAUCUCUGGUCCCCGCUGCCGUCGCGGCGACUGGCAGGUUUUCAGUGUGUUAGAACCCUUCCAGUUCUCGAACUGUGUCCCUGUGGCCGCGUUUUCAGAUGAAUGUUGCCAGUUCCCCACCUUCUGUCUCCGUCUCCCACUGGUGUCUGCCCCACCUCAGUCCUCUGUGGGUGUUGGGACAUGGAGCUGGGUGGUUCUGAGUGCCGAGCGGAGCAAGGUCAUCAGAUGACUUUGCUGUUCAUGGCCCUGGGUUCUGGUGCUCUCAUCCGAAGCCCUCCCUGCCCAUCCCUUGGGCUGUGGAGCGUAUCUUCUGUUCCCGUACCCUAUUAAUAGCUCUUGAACACACUGGCUCACCUGUCUCUCCCACGCCAGGCCACAGUGCCUUUCAAGGCAAGGUCUGUCUCUUCAUCCAUGCAGCCUCAGGUCCUGGCAGUAAUGGGCACUCACAUGCCUUUUGGGUGAGCUGUUCUUUGGAAAUAGUGUCCUUAGCUCCUGGCAUGUAAUAGGCAUUCAGUGAAUACUUGCUGAAUAAAUGAGUGGAAAAAUCUCAGAUCUUCAGAUAGCUUCAGAGAGUUUCAAAUCCUUCUGCUUGUCGGAUCCAAAGGACCUUCCCUCUGCUGAACCUUCCACCAGGGCUCUGGGGGGCCAGUCAGGAUCUCUCACCUGAAGCCACCUCAUCCCCCUGAGAGCCCGGGUGGAAUCAGAAGUGCCUCCCACUCUGUCCCCAGGGCAGGGGGGCCAGCAGGGCAGACUGGGUCACACCCUGCCUUGGAGCAGCAAGGCCGCUCCAAUUCCAGAGGCCUUGGCUGACCACCGAGCCACGGGGGCCAGGCUGGCUGGAGCCUCUAAAGAUCAGGGGUGGCGAUGUUGGCUUCUGUCUCUGAAAUUCGUCUGCUCGUGCUUGUGACGCUGAAAUGAGCAGUUAGCUCUGUGAUUCCUGAGCCUGGGCCGACCUCCAUGUCUUCGGUGCUGUUGGAGAGGACCAGGGAGGGGCAGUGUCGGGGCCAGCGCGUGCCUAGUGCGCCUUUCAGACCGAUUUGAGAUGACGAGGAAUCUUCCUGGUUGCUGGGUGAAGUACUUGAAGGAAACCUACUAACCUGUGGGGGUGAGGAGGACUGAGGGAGCGUCGCUGAGCCUUGGGGUGGACUCUCCAUUUAACCAGCAUCUGCCGAGUGCCUGUGAGGUGCUGGGGGCAAAGGCAUGGAACUGGGGCAAGGGCCCCUGUAGAGGCCACGUGGCUUUCUGAGGGAUCCGUCGCAAGGAGCUUUGGCCGGAUGUGAUGGGGUGGUUGAGAAGCCCAGGGAGGCUUCCUGGCAGAGGUGGAGAGGUUAGUUGGUCACAGACAAGCAGUGGAACGUGAUGGGAAGUGCAGGAGCUCGUCUUCUUCCCAGGCACGACCGUAGUCAUGAACACUGUUCCAGUCGGUAAGCUGAGCGCUUCAUCAGAGUGAGAGUGCCACCUGCCUGGGAGGCGGUAGUGCUGGCAGCUUGGCUGUGCUGACAGCUGCCACUGCUGCUGGAGCCUGGAGAGCCUGGCAGGGCCAGCCAAGCUGGACCACAAGCUGCUGGGACAGGGCUGGGGCCUGAGAGUCCUCCGAGGGACAGGAGGCAGCUCCACUCUCCACAGGGUGAGGGAGAGAAGGGGACCUGAGGGCGUUGGGUGGGGCCUAGGAGCUGCGCUUCAGCCAUGAGGAGGGGCAGCCGUGGAUGGUUUUUAGCCUGGGGAGUGACGGGCCAUGCUUCUCUUUGGGAUGGCCCCAGCAGGACAGCGCUCCGCCAGUCCAUGUGAGCCAGCGGCCGCUCUGCCAUGCCUGCUCUUCCAGACCGCCUCCACCCACACAGCCGCGCCCCUGACUGUCGUUCCGAGUGGACAUCGGCCCUUCUGGUGGCUUGUGUGUGCCCCGUGGUGCCCCCCAUCCCCACCUAGCACUGUUCCAGGUGGGCAGGCAUCCACUCAGCCUCUCCCCGCUGCUCACCCAACUCCCUCCCAGACAGAAAUGAGACCAGCAGAGACGCUCCCUGGGAGGCUGUCCAUGAGCCUCAGAGCCCCAGGAGGGCCCUCCAGGCUGGUCCCGCCAGCCCAGGGUGCAGUACUGCCUGGGGUGAGGUGGGGGCUGCAGGUGGCUGGCAGUUCAGGUACUGGAGCUCCCAGUGGGAGGGACGGCUAGCCACUCACCCAGAACCUUCCCGGAAUGGGGGAGGAGAGAGCCCACUUGUGGCAGCAUCAACAGGAUUUUGAGGACACAGUUCUGGAACUGAAGGCCUGCAGAGAGCCUGGUGCGGGAUGAGAUGUCAGACCUGGGCCCCUCCCAGGCCCCUGGGCUCCAGCGCUCCCGCCAGGCCCCCUGUGCCCACCAAGCCCCACCUGGUCAUAAGCGGCCCAGGGCAGGUUUUCUUUUCAGACUGAGAACUGGGCCUCUGGGCCUGGUGAGGGGCAGUGGCCCAGCGGUGGCCACCUCCCAAGGCUUCUCUGUGGGGUAGGACACCCCUGCCAGGAAGGGCCAGUGUCCCAGCCCAGCCCUGGGGUGGGGAGCAGAGCUGCUGUGGCCCUGAAGCUGGAUCAGAGCCUUUCCCUAGGAGCCUGGGCUUCGGGCCCUCCCUCCCCACCCAGCCAGCCUGGUUGGGGAAGGAACCACCUCAGAUUUGAUUGAGGAAGACUUUUUUUUUGCUUUUUCUUUUCUUGUAUUUAUUUAAAGGGCUUUCCACUAAAGACCGGAAAACCUGCUAGUCAAAUUCUAGAAGAGCAAACACUGGAAAAGACAUUUUUGUAGCUAGUUCAUAAACAAAUUCACACGCGCCACACUGCCGCCUUCUCAGCCUCCCUUUCCCCAGCCCACUUCCAUCACCUGCCCCUGCCCUCAAAGCACCGAGUCCCCCAGGGCCUGUGCCUCAAGGCAGCUGCCAGGACUGCCAGGCCCCACCGGGGACUGUCUCCCUCCCGUGGGGACAUGCUCAGAGCUGCACUGGCUGGGGAGGCUCUGGGCGGAAGGGUGGAGGGACAAAGAGGUCUUUGUCUCCCUGUGGCUGGACGAGAGGACAGACAGGUCAGCCAAGGCUGUGUGACUGGGGAGGCCCACCUGAGGGCCCAGCCUCCUGCAGCCACCUACCUGGGGCCCUGACACGUGCAGGACAUCUCCGUGUGCCUGUUUCCUGGCUGCGAGGUGGGGUCAGGCCACACACCAUCCUGCCUCCCCGCCUGGCUUCCCGCCCGGCAUCACCAGCCCUCACAGCUUCAUGUUCCUGCUGUUUGCCACUUUGGUGUCUUUGCUGGCCCCUUCCCCACGGGCACAGGAACUCACCGCAUCCCCAGUGCUUUCACAGGCUGGCGAGGGCUGGGAAGGGCAGACUGAUAGAGGGCCAUAACUGUGCAGGGCGGGGGCACCCAGGACUGCUGCGUGGACCAGGAGGGAGGAAGGAGACAAGAAGCCAUGUCCUGGCAGCUCGGAGGUCCUGUGCCUGCAGAGGCCGCUGCGGGGCAAGGGCCAGGAUCUGGCUCUGGCCUAGGUGAGGGGCGGCCAGAAAGAACCGGCUUCUGUGCUGUGUCCCAGCUCUGGCAUGACCAAGCCAUCCUCUGACCACCAGCAGCCAAAGAGCCCAGUGGGCCACGUGGACCCCAGCGGGCAGCACGUGCCAGAUGUCAGCUGCAGUCAGUCUCCAACCACAAUGCCUGCGCUCUGCCCCUUCCUGCCCCAUCGCCCUCAGAGGACCUAGCCCGAUGCCAGGGGCCCCGUACCUGAGACCCUGAGGACAUGAAACUUGUUCCGUUCCUGCUUGUAUCCCCAGUACCUAGAGCAGCACCUGGCUCAACACGCUGACACCUGUGGGUGCCCUCUGCAGGUGGCAUAGGCUCCAGGAGCGGCAGGAGCGGAGCUGAGGGGGCGGUUUUGCCUCCUGAGUCGGGGAACAUGCUGCAAAGCUCCGUGGGCACCCGUCUCGUGGGGUACGGGGGGUCAGCAGGAACCGGUGCCCUCAGGUGUGGCUGAGGUACAUGAGUCCUGUGCGUGUGCCACCAGGAUCACCCAUGAUGGGGUAGUCUGGGCCCCACUGGGUGCACCCUUUACACAGCCUGACACAGAGGCAGGGCCUUGCUGAUGGCCAGAGAUGAAAGGCCCAGAAAGAGAUCGGGAAACUGGGAUGCUCAGAUCCUCCUGGGGCUCCCCGAACUCUGCUCCUCCAGCGCAGCUGGCGUUUCUCUGCACGUGGGAAAGGAAAGGAAAAUGAUGACUUUUCAAAAGCAGAGCCUAGAGCCAGGGCUGGGCAUACUGGAGGCCCUGGAAGAACUUCAGGCAGCGGGUAGGGGACAGUGCCAGGACUGCCAGGGCUUUCUGGGCCCCACGAGCCAAGGGAGAUUUGGAGGCUUUGCUGAGUGCCCCUGGGGGCAGCAGUGGGGUGGGGCGAGGGGGUCAGGGAAAGGAUUUGGGGGCAGUGAGGACAGCACCAGGGGAUGGGGGUGCCCAGGGAUCCAGCCUGGCUGGCAGGAGGAGGGGUCAGCCAUGGGGCGGAGUUGUAGAGGCCUGGGCAGCAGAACCCACUGGGCCUCGCUGAGAGCAGAGGGCGCUGCUUCUUAAAGGUUCCGGGCGUGGUGGCGGGUGCCUGUGGCCCCAGCUACUCGGGAGGCUGAAGCAUGAGAAUUGCUUGAACUCAGAAGGCAGAGGUUGCAGUGAGCCGAGAUCACGCCACUGUACUCCAGCCCGGGCGACAGAGCGAGACCAUCACACACACACACAAAUUUAAAAACGUACUGGGGAUGUCAGGGUGCAGGUGUGGGGCAGCGAGGCACCCAGCUGCCUUCUUGGGCUGCGGUCUGGUCUGGGCACUGCCUGUAGAUGGCCACAGCAAGCCCAGGGUGCUCUUGGCAGCCUGGGGCUCCUGGGUGUGUGUGCCCCUUCCUCUGUGCAUCCAGGUUUCAUCUCCCAGGAAAGGGCAUCUUCUAGCCCUUAAUCCUGACCCAGCCCCUCAAAGGGAAAGCAGGCAUCCCAGCACCAACGUGGCUAUGCAGGUGGUCCUGUGGAGCAGGCCAUGUGGGCCUGGGGAAGAGUGUGCAGGCUGGACCGCUGGAGCAAGGACCCCCAGGUUGGAGCCAGGCAGGCAGGUGAGAGUCUGGAGGGCCAGAUCCCACAAGGCCUUGGGGCAGCAGGCCCCAACAAGGGCAGGACUGCAUCCUGGAUCAGUGGCUCCCACAGAGCACAGCACUAGUCCCAGGCUGCCCCUGCGCUGGGUUCUCCCAGGCCUGGCCGAGUGACUGCCAUGGACGCCCACACCGGCAGUAGGUCUGUGCCAGGGCAGACCCGAGAGCACGCCCCAGGGGGUGCCUCUAGCUGAAUGUGCGAGGCCUGUCCCUGCCGGGGUGGGGACCAUGGCCUGGGCCGUUCUGGCCCAUUCCCUCACCCAGUGCCAGUGCACAUGGGCCCUGCACAGCUCAGCAUCGGCGCUGGCCAGGAUGGGUGGAGGGAGGACCCCAGACAGACCCUUGCUACCCACCGCCCUCCCUACAGCCCCUGGCUUGCAGGGUGGCUCACCUGCACAGCAUGCGGCUCCCUGACCUUGGAGGUCCCCCAAACGCCAAGCGUCUGCCCCUCCAGGCCCCCACCUGCCUGCUUGGUUCUCCCACGUCUGGUCACCAGGCGGCGCCCAAGGUCAGGUUUUGCAGAGCCCAGAACACCGGAAGUGGUUUGGGGCCAGCCGGCUGGCGCAGCUAUCCUGCCUGGGCCACGCCGGGUGCACCUGCCCUGGCCAAUGGUGGACAGGUGGCCAUGGCCUCGCCUGAGCUGCGCUUCUGUUCUGGGGGUGGAUGGCGCUUGCGCGGGGCAUCCAAUGACCGCCUGCCACCAUCUAUGGAGUCCCCACAGAUAUGCCGGUCUCUAACCUACCUCCCAACCCCCUAGUUCUGCCACAGGCAGCCUGCCCUGCCUGCCAGCGUGGUUCUGUCGUCAGGAUGGUGGUGGCUCCCAGCCGGCUGGCAGGGGCUUGUCUUUCCCCGUGGCAGGGCCUAUGGGCAAGGCCUGUGCGAUCAGCCCUGCGUCUCUGCACAGGUGGCCCCUUCCUUGGACCCUGGCCUGGCCCUCCUGGGUAAUCUGUGCUCCUCUUCCACACCCCAAGCCAAAUGCCACUUCUGGCAAGAAGCCUUUGGUGACUCCCCCGACACGUUCCUGUGUGCGGGGCCCGUCCCUGGCCAAUGGGGUCACCAUACUGCACAGUGGUGCUGGCAGCAACCAGGACAGCUCAGGCAGCCGUGCAGCAGGCAGGGGUCACUGCUGUGCACAGCUGCCCCCGGAGCUGCCUCCAUGCUGCACAGCUCAGCUAGUGGGCAGGGUGUGGGGCCAUGGCACUGGCUGCCUUGUGCCUCGCUGGGCCCCGCGGGGGCUCUGGGUGUGGUGAUGGAGAAUCAGCGCCUGCCCCGCAGCCUGGCUUCUUGGUGGCAGGAGCUGCAGGAACAAGCCAGGCCCCGCAGCCUGGCCUCUACGCCCCUGUCUCCCUGCCUUGCCCUUUCUCCCUCAUUGCCCUAAAAGACCUCGGUGCCAGCAGACACACCUGCCCCAGGGUCACCGAGGCAGCUGCCUCUGUGAAGCCCCCUCUCCCUCAGGAAGCUGUUUGGGGCCUCUCGGUGCCCACUCCUGCCCUGCCCCGAGCCCAGCCCUGCCUCCUGAGAGCACCUCUGGGCACAUCUCGCACAGCGUCACGCUCAGGAGGGCUGCAGGGGGACUGCUGGGUGACGAGGGCCCCGCCCGUCAGCCUCAGCUCCAGCCUAUCCCAGGGGCCUGAGAUUCUAACAGGCAGCAGCGUUUAUCCCAAAGGACUGACGCGCUCCUGGGGAAGCCGCAGCCUCUGCAGCAGUGCCAAGAGCCGUGGGCCUCCUGUUGGGAAGGGACCGCCGGGUCCCCAUCCACUGGCCCCUCAGGAGCCAGCAGCGGCACGCGUGGGGCAAGGAACUCGGCCAGCUCUGUGUUGUUGGGCUGGAGCCUGAGGCAGGGGUCAGAGGGCCCAGCUGUGGUCUUCAGAGAGGGCCUGCGUGUUCCCAGCGUUCCCACCCCCCAGCCUACAGCCUGUCCCCUCUCCAGGAUAUCAACUGCAAGGAAGCUGUCCCUCCCCUUGGUGGGGUCCUCGUCAGCAGGUUUCAGGGCAGCCAGGGACCCCAGGGCCAUCUGUCUCCCCAGACACCCAGGUUCUCCGUCCUGUGACGUCAGCUGACAACGGGAGUCAGGCUGGGCCGCCCAGGGCCUCUCAUGCAUCGAGACCACACCCUCCUGCUGCACCCCGGCAAAGCAUGCCACCCGGCCCCCUCCAUGCCAUCUCCAGGCCACUUUGUCCUUCCUGUAGGGCUGGUGGUGCCCACCCUACUGUGGGGCUGUGAGCAUCUAAUGGGGCGCUUGGUGUCCAGUGGCCGGUGAGGCCCAGCCUCAGCUCGCCGGCAUCAGAAAUCCCAGCCCUCACAGCAUAGGGCCUCGAGGCUGUCCCACAGGCCCAGUGGUGGGGAGUGGGGUUCAGGCCAGCUUGUCCCCUGAAUUCUAGGCCCCCAGCCUCCUCCCCAAGGUCAGCAAUGACCUCUCAGUCUCAGCAGGUGAGAUGGGGCAGGCCCUGGCCUUGCACGUUCAUGCCCACCACCACGUGUGCCGUGCUGGGAGACCCCACACUGGCCUGGGGCCCCUGGGACCUGGGUGUGAACCUGGAGGCUGCAGCCUUGGGGCACGCUGAGGACUGAGUGCCUGCCUGUGGCUGUGGGGUGUGUGCCUGCGUGUGGCACGUGUACACUUAUGUGUGAGCGUGUGCACAUUCCUGUGUGCAUGUGUGUGUGCUGUGUGGCUGUGAGCAUGUAUGCGCUGGGGGUUUGAGGGUGUAACGAAGCGGGACAAUUAGUCUGCCCCCCAGCAGCCUGUGGGUGGAGAAGGCUCUGGGGCCCCCCGACUGGGAUGGGGCCUGGCCAGGGCUGGGAGGGCCGACUGGCAGGCUCUGCGUUCUGGAAACGCGCCCAGAGGAUCCUGCACAGGCGGCGGUGGCGCCAUGGCAACGCUGCACAAAGCACUGGCCUACUUACACCGCCCCCGCCCAUCUCACUCCACCGCCGGGGAGGGGGCACAGGGCCUCUGGGGCUCCUGGGGGAGCCACACACCCCAGCCUGUGGUCGCUCGGUGCCCCGGAAGCCUCAGGCCUCCUCCUGGCCGGGGCCCAGGCCUGCAGACACUCCUGCCCAUCCACACACGGGGAUGAAGACGGGGUGCAGGGAGGUCCAGCACCCAGCAGGCGCCCCCUGCCCUGGGCAGCUGUGGACCUGGUGGCUCUGUAAGGCUUUGAAGUUUUCCCAGCCCCGGAAAUCCGGGAGCCUUGGCUCUGCUGAUGACUGCAAGGCAAGCUCAGACCUCAGGUGUCAAGGCUGGAGGACAGGCCAGGAGCUGCUUGCAUGCCCUGCUCACAGGACAAGGCCCUUCACACCCUCUGGCCUACCCACUCGGCCUUCUGUCAUCUGCAUGGCCAGGACACCUCCUGGGCCUGGCAGUGAGCCCUGCUGACCAGCACACCCUGUGCCUGCCUCCCAGACCCAGCCUGACCUGGGCCUGCUGCCUCCUCCUGCAGGAAGCCCACCUGGUCUGGCCUGAUGUGCUCAGUGCCUUGGGGAUGGAGCACAUGCCCAGGGCCUGGGAGGCAGAGGAACAGGCCUUGGGAGCUGGGCCUGAGUAGCACUGGGCAUCUGUGGGACUCUCAGGCCACCUGUCUCUCUAUGCUGGCCACACUGCGCUCUGCAUUGGCCACCCUGGGCCACCGGACCCCAGGUCUCGAGGUCUCGAGACAGGGAGGUGGGGGAGGGGGACAGUGUCCUGCGGGGGGCCUGGAAGCCAGGCCGAGGGCCAGCAAGGCUGUGAGGACACUUUGUGGGUCACCCAGACUCUCGGGACAGGAAGUCCUUGGCCACACAUGGGGGGUGGGUGCCACUCCACACCACACAUUGAAAAUCAAAUAUUUUCCUGAGCUCUCCUGGAGGCCUGGGACUUGGGCUGGGCGGCUGUGGCCACUGCCCUGCUGGGUGACCGUGCUCAGCAUGGAUCUUCCCGCCUGCCCCAACCCAGGCCCUGGGGCUUCUGGGCAGCUCUGACUCGUCUGUCCUAGUUCCCUCUCCAGACUGGGCACCCCCGCCCCUCACCCACUGCUCCCUCAUCCACCAGAUGCAUCCCCUGUGUCCCCAAGGCCCUCACACAGCCUCUUGGGCCAGCGCCCAGCAGCCAUCUGUGGAACGAAGGAAUGGGCCGAAUGAAUGAAUGAAGCUUGGAGGGGUGGCUCCAUGCACCCCACGUGUAAGUUGGGGGCUUGCUUGUUUGUUUGCACCAAGUGACCCUCUUCCAGGGACAGAAGUGCUUGCCAUCCCCUCCCCCACCCUAGCCCCCCCUAAUUUAUGCUACCAGGGGAGCCAGCCACUCGCUGGUCCCCUGCCUGGCAGCGGCUUUGUCCCCAGGCGGAUUCCCAACGGCUGCCUUUGGGAAGAAAGGGCCCUUCUCUGGCCGGUGGUGAGGUCACCAGGAGGGGCCCGGCGCGCACAAAGGCCACCCUCCCCGCCCCGCCCUGCUGGCAGCUGCCUCUUUGUCCCCAGGAGAGACGCUGAGGGGCCCCAGCUCAGCCUUGGAGGAGCCUAGGCUUCCAUUGCAGCGGGGGGCACAGAGCAGGGGAGGGGCGGGAGCAGCCCCAACCCUGACUUUGCUCCUGAUCAAGUGGCAACACCUGUUGAGGGGCAGGCCCCUCCAGACGCCUCCCCUGGGGAGGGUCUGUGUCCAGCUGUCUGCCUGGGUCCUCAGGAGAGGCAGGCGAGCUUCUGGGGGUGGGGAUGGCAGCUGCAGGAAGGCGUGGGGAACCUGAGGUGUUAGGAGCUGCCUGGGCAGUCUGACCCUGGUGAGGUGGGCUCUGGGAGCAACCAUCCAGAUGUGUGGACCAGCUGCUAAAACCACACCUCCCUAGCGUGCACAUGGUGGAGUGAGGGGCUGGCAGGCCUGGGGCACUCCUGGGCACUUCCCAUGCCAGCCCCAAGGAGACUCCCACGAGCCCAGUUCGGGAGCUCCUGAGGGUACCCCGGGACGGGGCAGGGCACUGAGGCUCAGAGAGGGCAAGGCCUUUGGCCAAAGCCCCGCCCAGGGUGGUGGGGCUAGGACCUGCCCCCGCCCCGCCUCCCUGCCUCCCCCAGGCAGUGCACAGAGGAGGCGUCCCUCCAGAGGGCACUGGACACCUCCUGGUGUGAGGCAAAGGGUUGGCCCAGUGAGGCCAGCAAGGACUGGGUGGCAGAGACCAGGGUGGCAAAAGCCAUGCAAACAGCAGCGGAGACAGAGAGCAUGAGAGGGUGGUGGCACUGCCUGGCGGGCUCCACUAUGUGUUCACGGAGCGCCUAUUGUGCGCCUGGCCCACCCAGGACAGAAAGAACUGUGCACAGGAAAUGUGUGGUUGAGCCAGGACCUCGGCAGCAGCUGGGGUCCGACUUCUACCCUCAGGGCUGGGGGAAGAGGCAGGGCUGAGGCCCAACCAGUGCGAUGCUGAGGGACACAGGGUGUGUGUGGGGGAAGGGCAAGGGCUGGCCGCUGUGCCCAGACGCUCAGGAACCGUCUGUGAGGUGGGGAGGGCCGCCAGGCACGGUGAACUCCUAGCCUCGCUCCUCCUGGCCACCGGCUGGGCCCAGAGCUCCUUAGCAGGCCAUCCACGGAGGGGGGAUGUGGAGCCUGAAGGAGUGGCACACACCCUCCAGAGGUGGCUGGACAGAGACAGCCACAGAGGCCAGGGGCCCUGCAGUGUGACUCUGGCAGAGCCUGGCUGGCAGGGCUAGGGGCUACUGAGUCUGGGGCCAGGAGAGGGGUGGCAGGGGAUGGAGGCUCUACCAGAACUCCAAGCCCUGUUCCGAGGGCCCCACGCCUGCACUUGGGGGCACCGGCCAGGCAGGCACAGUCAGAGGCAGGAGAGGCGGGGAGCACAAGCGGCCCCAAGACAGAGGCCACGAGGAGGUGAGCAGGCCAGGGCUCGGGGUUGCAGGAGCCAUCAAGGGCACAUUCCGACCAGGUCCCCAGCUGGGUGGAGGCUGGCGUCAGGGCGUGUUGAAGCCCCACCAGGAGGGCGGCUGCCCUUUACCCUGAGAGGCCAGGCAGCCAGUGAGUCUCAAUGGCCUGAGGGUGGGGGUGUGCGCAUUGCUGAGGGACAAGUGUGGCCUGGGCCCCUCAGGGUUCCCCCUCUAAGAAGCGUCUCCUUCCCCGUUGCCGGGCACCCGGAAUGUCCAUUGUGCCCGUAGCUUAGCAACAAGCCUGUCGCCCCCACUGUCCCCACCCCAUCCAUGGCCAGCCCCCCACCCACAGCUGGCCCUGCAUUCCUCCCCAGGGCCUGUGUCUCUGCAGGUCCAGGGCUUCCAGGCAGGGGCCAGGCCCCAGACCACAUUCAGCCUGCGUCUGCCGUGCCAGCACCCUGGGUGACAGGCUGGGUCCUGCCAGCUACCAGUGCUGGCCACUGGCCUGGUGCAUCUUUCCUUUUUUUAUUUUUUAAUUAUUUGUAGAGACAGGACUUCCCUGUGUUGCCCAGUCUGGGCUCAAGCGAUCCUCUCAUCUUGGCCUCAGGCAUGAGCCACCACACCCAGCCUCCUUUUUUUAAAAAUAAAAACUUUUGGAAAUUGUCAAAGAAAUGCACCAGCAGAAUCGUGUGAAGAAUCCUGCACACAGCUCCCAGGAGUCUGUGGCCAGCCUGGUUUGAAGUCUGCUCCCCUUCCUCCCCAGCCCUGUUAUUCAGAGUUGGAUCUCAGCCACCCUGUCAUUCCCCAGCACUUUGUCAGCAUGCCCGCAAAUGUGGCCACGCCUUAAACUCACAAAACAGCCACUCAAGCUUCAAACUUCCCAACUUUCCUAUUUUGUAAAAGACACUGGUUUAUUCAAAUUGGGGCCCCGUGGGGUCUGCGCACAGCGACCUGCUGUUACUGCCUCAGUUUCUCUCUGGGAGCACGAGGGCAUUUGCAGUGCAGCAGCAGGGAGCGACAGGGUCUGGGGCUCAGAAGCAGACAGUCCAGCCACACCGGGAGAAACUGAGCUGCAGCUGACCGCGCAGCCUCAGAGGAUCAACCGGCCGCGUGCAGGAAGCUGCCAGAGAGCUGCCGCUUCAGUUAAUAAAGGGGGUUUUUGUUUAAGAAAUAAAAAGAAAUGUUUGCGAGA